GACGAACGCUGGCGGCGUGCCUAAUACAUGCAAGUAGAACGCAGUUGCGAACGGGUGAGUAACGCGUAGGUAACAGCCUCAUAGCGGGGGAUACCUAAAGGAAACGAUAGCUAAUACAGCAUAUUGUGAGAUGGACCUGCGUUGUAUUAGCUAGUUGGUGAGGUAAAGGCUCACCAAGGCGACGAUACAUAGCCGACCUGAGUGGGUGAUAGGAGAAACAGGGAAUGGGACACGUCCCAGACUCCAACGGGAGGCAGCAGUAGGGAAUCUUCGGGAAUGGAUGGAAGUGUGACCGAGAAACGCCGCGUGAGGGAAGAAGGUUUUGGGAUCGUAAAGCUCUGUUGUUAGAGAAGCGGGAACUAACCAGAAAGGGACGGCUAACUACGUGCCAGCAGCAGCGGUAAGAC
rnacentral:rRNA from 1 species